rnacentral:rRNA from 1 species
AGGACGAACGCUGGCGGCGUGCUUAACACAUGCAAGUCGAGCGGAAAGGCCCUUCGGGGUACUCGAGCGGCGAACGGGUGAGUAACACGUGAGUAAUCUGCCCCUAGCUCUGGGAUAGCUCCGGGAAACCGGGAUUAAUACCAGAUACGACCACUUUAGACAUCUGUUGUGGUGGAAAGAAUUUUGGCUAGGGAUGAGCUCGCGGCCUAUCAGCUUGUUGGUGAGGUAACGGCUCACCAAGGCGACGACGGGUAGCCGGCCUGAGAGGGCGACCGGCCACACUGGGACUGAGACACGGCCCAGACUCCUACGGGAGGCAGCAGUGGGGAAUAUUGCGCAAUGGGCGAAAGCCUGACGCAGCGACGCCGCGUGGGGGAUGAAGGCCUUCGGGUUGUAACCCCUUCAGCAGGGACGAAGCGAAAGUGACGGUACCUGCAGAAGAAGCGCCGGCUAACUACGUGCCAGCAGCCGC